UACGAAGGGGGCUGGCGUUGUUCGGAAUCACUGGGCGUAAAGGGCGCGUAGGCGGCCUGAUAAGUCGGGGGUGAAAGCCUGUGGCUCAACCACAGAAUUGCCUUCGAUACUGUUAGGCUUGAGACCGGAAGAGGUAAGUGGAACUGCGAGUGUAGAGGUGAAAUUCGUAGAUAUUCGCAAGAACACCAGUGGCGAAGGCGGCUUACUGGUCCGGUUCUGACGCUGAGGCGCGAAAGCGUGGGGAGCAAACAGG
rnacentral:rRNA from 1 species